AAAGUUAAGCAUCGUAGAGCCAGGUCAGUACUUAGAUGGGGGACCGCUUGGGAACACCUGGUACUGUAAGC